UACGUAGGGCGCAAGCGUUAUCCGGAAUUACUGGGCGUAAAGCGUGCGUAGACGGCUAUCUAAGUCGGGUGUGAAAGCCCCGGGGCUCAACCUGGGAAUUGCAUUCGAGACUGAAUAGCUAGGGUACGGUAGAGGGAAGUGGAAUUUCCGGUGUAGCGGUGAAAUGCGUAGAUAUCGGAAGGAACAUCAGUGGCGAAAGCGACUCCUGGACCAGUACCGACGUUCAGGCACGAAAGCGUGGGGAGCAAACAGG
rnacentral:rRNA from 1 species